rnacentral:rRNA from 1 species
AAAGUCAUUCAUCUACAGCCAUGAAUGUGCCCAAUCUCGUCUGAUAUAGGAAGCUAAGCAGAGUCAGGCGUGGUUAGUACUUGGAUGCGAGACCACCUAGAAAUACCAGAUGCUAUAGGCUUUA